CAGCAGCAGCCACGGGAAUACAGAGGGUGCGAGCGUUAAUCGGAUUUACUGGGCGUAAAGCGUGCGUAGGCGGCUUCUUAAGUCGGAUGUGAAAUCCCUGAGCUUAACUUAGGAAUUGCAUUCGAUACUGGGAAGCUAGAGUAUGGGAGAGGAUGGUAGAAUUCCAGGUGUAGCGGUGAAAUGCGUAGAGAUCUGGAGGAAUACCGAUGGCGAAGGCAGCCAUCUGGCCUAAUACUGACGCUGAGGUACGAAAGCAUGGGGAGCAAACAGGAUUAGAGACCCCCGUAGUCCCUGUCUCUUAUAA
rnacentral:rRNA from 1 species